AUCAGGUGUUACUCUGAAGCUUUGAGUAAUCUAUUUUCUUAUUUUUCUCUCUGCCCUUUCUUCUUCCCUCCCCCUUUUCAAGCAGGGAGCUAGUCCUGUGUUCAUUGAACUCAAGGGAAGUGGGUGGAGGGCAGAAAGCAGAAAUCCUGGCUUUUGCUUUUAAAAGCCUAAGCCCCAAAGAGAUGAGAAGAUUCAGGGCAUGGAUAAUGUAUCUUGAUCAGGACUAUGGAGCAAGAAGGAUUUCCUCCCCUUUGAAGACUGUCAUUCCUGUUUACAGUGAAUGAGAGUAGAGGAGUCUAUGGAUCCUGAAGGAGGAACCCGGCCUUGUCUUCUUGGAGGUGUGCUGAGAAAGGGAUGCCUGUGCGUAUCCAGGGAGACCUAUAAAAAGAUCCAAGGUCUCAGGAACAGCCUAUAGAAGAAGCAAGGGGGCUCACUCAGAUCUGAAGAAGCCAUGCUGUGAAAUAUGACUUGAUGACCAGAAGGUCUCCUAGUGCCUUGGUGCCUCAGAAACAGCCUUCUCUUUGGACACAGGGAUGAAGGAUGCCAAAACAGACUGAAAUUAAGUUUCCUGCCAGCCCUGGAAUGAGUGCUCAAAUAGAAAUUAAGCAAACAUUUGGAUCAUAUCAGCGGUACUGGCAGGCAAUCUCUACCUUGUGCCUAGCUGGAAGCACCCCAGAUCUCCUUUAUGCCAGCUGCUCAUCCGUUCCAGGUGGACAGCUUUAAAUAGAGAUGGAGGUCAGAGAUCUCACAGGCUCCCUCAAACAGAACUGCAUCUCAUCUCGAGCCUCCCAGCUCUGUGCCUACAUGCUGCCCCAGACCUCAGGCUGUCCACUGAUGUCAGCAUUGCCUGCACCGGGGUGACCCUCAUUUCUUUGUGCAUCUCCUUCAUCUCUGCCAGCUCUGGGUAUGGAGCUAGGAACAAGUGCUACUUUGUUGGACUGUAUCAGCUGGGAUCAACUUGCUGGACUCUUGUGACAGGGCUGAAAGUUCAGUGGAUGGACUGCUGUUUGGGAAAGUUGGUGAUAGGCCCACAGUAAUCCCAUCCAAGGGUCAUGUCAUCUCCAGCUCCUCCUUGCCUCAUAUCCCCAAAGUCUCCUCUUCUUCUUCCCUGAGUUCCUCCCCUUCUCACCCCAACACAAGAGCUUUUGUGAAAAGCUUAUGUUCCCUGACUAUAGCAGAAUUCUCUUUAAAAGAAAGCUUACCUUUCUAACUCCAAAAGCUUCAUGAGCUAUUUAACGGUAAUUAUAUUUAUUAUGGAUAAUUUUCUAUACAUUCAUCCAGUCUGGGGUGUAUGCCUUAUCCCCCUUUAUGGCUUGAUCAGAAAUUUAAGAUUUUCCUCCCAGCUCACUCUCCUCUCAUACGGAUAUUGUCUAAAAGGAAAUAUAUACAGUGUUCUUAAAUGAUGCUGUCACCUCUCACUCAAGGGAAGGAAAAACUGUUCCAG
rnacentral:lncRNA from 1 species